rnacentral:rRNA from 1 species
UACGAAGGGGGCUAGCGUUGUUCGGAUUUACUGGGCGUAAAGCGCACGUAGGCGGAUUGUUAAGUCGGGGGUGAAAUCCUGGAGCUCAACUCCAGAACUGCCUUCGAUACUGGCAAUCUCGAGUCCGGAAGAGGUAAGUGGAACUCCUAGUGUAGAGGUGGAAUUCGUAGAUAUUAGGAAGAACACCCGUGGCGAAGGCGGCUCUCGUGGGACGGUACUGACGCUGAGACGCGAA